rnacentral:lncRNA from 1 species
CGCAGACACUCAGAGCCGCAUUUUUAUCUCCUACAACUGGAGUUCAACAGGAACAGCAGCGAGCUGUCCUCCCCGAAGACAUCUCCGUCAGGGGUUGCGGUUUUCCCCAGUUUCUUACCCCGGCGCCCAACGGGAACGCCACGGGACAGCAACCGCGGAGAGGCCCCGGCUCCCGCACCCCGAGGCGGAGGAACGCGGGGCCGGGGCUCGGGGCCUCAGCGAGGGACAAAGCCCGGGAGCGCCCCACCCGCGGGGCCGAACCGGGGCCGUGCGCGGCGGAGGGCGGGGAGAGGCGGCCGCGGGGUGGGGCGCGGCGCGGGGACAAAGGGGCCGCGGGGCCGCCACCGCCGCUCCUCCUCCCUCCCCCGGCGGCUCCGUGAGGCGGGGGACGGGCCCCGUCCCACCGAGCCCGGGCGGCCGCGGCCCUCCUGCCCUCCCCGCCUCCCUCCCUCCCUCCCUCCCCGGCCGACAUUUUGUUUUCCGCCAUUUUCUGGCCGCCCUCGGAGGCCCCUCAGCCGCGGGGCCCGGCCGCCGCCCGCCCUCCCGGCGCGGCCUCAACCGGGCAGCGGCCGAGCUGAGGGGCGGCGGCGGCGCUGCCGGCGGGCCCGGAGCGCGGCCUCCCCUUCUCCGUACCCCCCCCCCGCGGCCCUGCUCACCUGUGCGGGCGUCGCCUCGCGCCGCGGGACCGCCGCGGGGGGCCUCCGAGCCGGGCCGAGCCGGGCCAAACCGAGCCGGGCCGGGCCGGGCGGCGGCGGGGCGCGAGCGCUCGCGGCCUGCUCCCCUCCCCCCCGCCGCCCGCCCGCCCGCCCGCCCGCUCGCCGCCGGCCUCGCCGCGGCCGCCGCACGUCACUGCGCGCCGCUGCGGGCCCCGCGCGCCGAGCAGGCGCACCCGCCGCGCCGAGGCCGCUGCCCUCACGCUGCCCGCGCCGCCGAGCGCGCCUGUGCGCGGCGGGGGGAGCGGGGAGGGGGGCAACGGCCCCGCGGGCGGGGCGGGGAGGGGGGGGCGCGGGGCGGCCCUCGGAGGCCCCCCGCGGCCCGCACGCAGCCGGCCGCAGAGGCCCGAGCCGGCCCCGAGCCUCGGGGGGGGGGCGGCACGGGCACCUGCUGCGGGGUGGGGGCGGUAGGGGAAUAACGCCCCCUCCCCACACGCACGCACACGGCCCCGUGCCGGGGGGCAUCGCCUCGGGCUCCCCUCCGGAGCUCUGGUGGGGCCAGGGCUCAGGGCCCGCUUGCAGUCCUUCCUUCUGCCCAGGCCUUCCCAAAAUCCCAGCCCGAGGGUGCUCGGGGAGGCCCAGCCGCGCUCCUGCCCCUAUUCGCGGUUGUCCCAGAGGGCACAGACCCAAAAGGGCACGGGGAGAGCCCGGCGCUGCUGCGGCCUCGCUGCCCUCGCCCCCUGCAAGCAGAGGUAGCCCAAGGCAGCCCUCAGGGCCUUCGUUCUUGCACAGCAUUAAAGGCCAGUACCACUGCUACCAAAAAUACACAUAA